GGUGGUCAUAACUCAGUGUCAGAGUUGCUGCCUUGCAUGCUAGAAGGGUCCAGGUUCCAGCCCUGGGAUCUCCA